UACGGGGGGGGCAAGCGUUGUUCGGAAUUACUGGGCGUAAAGGGCUCGUAGGUGGCCAACUAAGUCAGACGUGAAAUCCCUCGGCUUAACCGGGGAACUGCGUCUGAUACUGGAUGGCUUGAGUUCGGGAGAGGGAUGCGGAAUUCCAGGUGUAGCGGUGAAAUGCGUAGAUAUCUGGAGGAACACCGGUGGCGAAGGCGGCAUCCUGGACCGACACUGACGCUGAGGCACGAAAGCUGGGGGAGCAAACAGG
rnacentral:rRNA from 1 species